rnacentral:rRNA from 1 species
AUUGAACGCUGGCGGCAGGCCUAACACAUGCAAGUCGAACGAGUGGCGGACGGGUGAGUAAUGUCUGGGAAACUGCCUGAUGGAGGGGGAUAACUACUGGAAACGGUAGCUAAUACCGCAUACCAUCGGAUGUGCCCAGAUGGGAUUAGCUAGUAGGUGGGGUAACGGCUCACCUAGGCGACGAUCCCUAGCUGGUCUGAUAGGAUGACCAGCCACUCUGGAACUUAGACACGGUCCAGACCCCUACGGCAGGCAGCAUUGGGGAAUAUUGCACAAUGGGCGCAAUCCUGAUGCAGCCAUGCCCCGUGUAUGAAGAAGGCCUUCGGGUUUUAAAGUACUUUCAGCGGGGAGGCGUUACCCGCAGAAGAAGCACCGGCUAACUCCGUGCCAGCCGCCGCGGUAAUUC